rnacentral:rRNA from 1 species
CAAUAGCGUAUAUUUAAGUUGUUGCAGUUAAAAAGCUCGUAGUUGGAUUUCGGAUGGGAUUUGCCGGUCCGUCGUUACGCUGUGCACUGGCCAGUCCUAUCUUGUUGUCGGGGACUAGCUCCUUGGAUUCACUUCCUGGGACUAGGAGCUGACGAGGUUACUUUGAGUAAAUUAGAGUGUUCAAAGCAAGCCUACGCUCUGAAUACAUUAGCAUGGAAUAACACGAUAGGACUCUGGCUUAUCUUGUUGGUCUGUGAGACCAGAGUAAUGAUUAAGAGGGACAGUCGGGGACAUUCGUAUUUCAUUGUCAGAGGUGAAAUUCUUGGAUUUAUGAAAGACGAACUUCUGCGAAAGCAUUUGUCAAGGAUGUUUUCAUUAA